UAUUAAUAAUAAUUUUCAAGAAUAAUGUCUCCGAAGAGAGCAUGGAGGUUAAUCACCAACUUGGCUAUGGCAAUGGUGCCCAUAAAAUGGGUGCAAAUAUCCUUUGUAUGUAAGAUCAAAAUAUGGAUAUUCAUCUUGAUCUCCAUCAAGCUCAAUGUUGAUACUAUCACCUUCCACUCACACACUUCUUUGUCAACCAGCAUUGCAUCAAGUCAAGUCAAGUCAAUGCUAUUACAAUGACUUGUUUAUGUUGUCAUGCAGCAAUGCUUAGUUUCAAGAAAAAAAAGGAAUCACCAUUCUAUAACCAAAACAAAAACAUAUCAUGAGGGAGGUGAAUCCAAACCUGCAAUAUGAAGCAAUUUUUUUGAUGAAGAUUUUUUGAUGCUAUGAACCAUCUCAAUUGAUGCAAAAUUUGCUUUGCAGUAUCUCACCAUCUACUUUCUAGUCACAUUUCCAUCAUCCAUUCUCUGUUUUGCUUCAUUGAUUAUUGUUCUUCUGGUUAUUGUACUACCUUUGAAAUUUACAUUGAUUCUUUCAAUUGGAUCUCUCAUAUUCAAAUGAUUCACAAAUCCUUUCUCAAAGCAAGUGUUUGGCUUUUGUUGUGUCUUGUAUCAAAAGGGGUCAAUGUUCAUUUCUUGAAACAAUUGUAUUGUUGAUAUUCAUAAUUGUAAGUUGGAUGAUUUUUUUGGCUUAGUUCCCUACAUACAACAAUUUUGGAUAUGCAAUUAUCAUCUAUUUGGCAUCUUAGGUCUUGCAAUGAACGCCAAUUGGUGAUGUGGCUUCUUGACUGCGGUGGUGUACAAUGGAUCAGAGAUGCUUGUGAUUAUAUGAAAUCAUAUGAUAUUAUCGCCGCAAGAAUUGAACAUUAUCAAGUUGAUAUAAGUGCAUCUCACUACAAAUUGAUCCAUCAAUCCAUCACCGUGAUAUUAUAACUUAUAUCUUUGCACUUGCCCUAUAAACACUACCUUCCCUCAACUCUUUGUUAUACACAACUUUAAGCAUACCUACAUUAUUUCAUACUAUAGAAGUAUAAUUGUGAUCUUUGUAAUUUGUUAGUGGUUUUCUUCAUAGAUUUGUGGAAGGAAGAAUUCCCAUUGGGUUGUGAUCCAAUUCAUGGAGGAGGAGUAGCUUGCAUCGUUUGAAGUAGUGAAUGAGAUUAGGAUGUUGAUUUUAAAACAAUUGCAGUAUAAUAUCAUGGUUGUUUUUACUGGUCAUUCCACGUAUGCUUUGAUGAGAUUGAGGAUGCAUUAGAAUCUCAAGGAAAUUCAUCUCUUACAUCAAGUAUUGAGAGGAGAUAUUAAUAGUCUAUUUACUACCUUUGAUAUUUCAUUGGAAGGCACAAUUACACAAAUGAGAUAGAUAAUAAGAGAAUCAUGCAAACGAAUUUAUAUGCAAAUGGAAUAAGUGACAAUGCGAGAAGUAGGGUUGGAACAAGGAAUAGGAUUGGGGAGGUUGGAAAGGAGGAUAGGGUUGGAGGGAUGAGAAUGUGUGGAACUACGAGAACAAAGAUGUAGGAUAGAAAGGUGCAAUCAUAUUCUAGAUAGGUGAGUUGAUUUAGUAAACAUUUGGAUCGCUUUAUUAUUUUCCAAUGUGUAUAUAUAUAUAUAUGCAUACACUUAUCCAUUUAAAGGAUAAGAAAUAAAUUGUGUGAUUUUGAUCUAUAAAGUUUUUAGUGAAUGAUAGAUUAUUAAAGGUUGUUGUUUGAAGUGCAUUUAACAAGUUUGGUUUAAUUUUGGAAUUGUUGCAUCAAAUGAGUAAUUCAUAUGAUGACAAAUGAUAAGAUA
rnacentral:lncRNA from 1 species